UACGGGGGGGGCUGAGCGUUGUUCGGAAUUACUGGGCGUAAAGGGCGCGUAGGCGGUCUGCUAAGUUGGAUGUGAAAACUCUGGGCUUAACCCAGAGCCUGCAUUCAAAACUGACAGGCUGGAGUUCUGGAGGGGAUAGCGGAAUUCCUGGUGUAGCGGUGAAAUGCGUAGAUAUCAGGAGGAACACCGGUGGCGAAGGCGGCUAUCUGGACAGAAACUGACGCUGAGGCGCGAAAGCUAGGGGAGCAAACAGG
rnacentral:rRNA from 1 species